AGGGUAAUAGCUUAAUGGUAAAGCAUUCCGCUCAUAACGGUUCAAAUAGUGGUUCAACUCCUCUUUACCCUA